rnacentral:lncRNA from 1 species
CAGAAUGUAAAGCACUAAGGAAAGCAGAUCACUUGGCGAUUCCAGUCUAGCUAGCGGCGGUUCACAAUCAAGCUUAUCAUUUGUCACACCGGAGCAAGGCAAUGGAGGAGCACUCAUUCACUAGUAUUAGACAACAGACUAACUGUCUAACAGUGAUUAAAUCUCUAGUUGUUUAUGACUUCUCUUUGUCUUUUUUCUUCCAGAUUACUUGGGCUUAUUGAAGUCAUGUUAUUAAUAUUAUUUCAUUGUUUUUUCUGUUAUGAAAAUUUUGAAGCACAUUUGCUUCAAGUUUCUGUAUAUUAGUGUGCUUUUGGACACAUGUUGUUGAAUGAUGAAUUUUCUUAGAGGGGAAACAAAAUUGGAACAGCACUAGUCAAGAAAGUUUAAAUAGGCAAAAAGUAAGAAAAAAGAGCUUCACACCAGGAUUUAACUGAUAAAAAAUCCUGGUAUUCUUUCAAAGCAACUACAUAUCUGUUCUACAUACUUUCUCAGAGUUUAAGCAGUCAAAGAAAUAUGGAGAAGUUCUGUUUGGACAUGAAAGAAGAAUAAGGUAACUUAAGCUCCAUUUUUAUUUAUUUAUUUUUUUGUCUAUGACUCAUUUUUCCUUGUUUUGGAGCACUAAUUAGUAAAGUAAGGGUAUACCUGGGUCAGGAACAACUUCUUACUAGUAGGAGCUAAUCGCAGUAAGAGAGUCCAAUCGCUGAAAUAGAGCUUAGUCUCUCCACAAUAGUCUACUAAUUUUUGAGUUAUUUUGCUCAUUAGAGGGCAUAUUUGAACGAUUUGGGAGGUAAUAUAUGGUAAAUUGUCUCAAUUUGAAUAGUUCAAAA